GCUCCUUCAAAACCAGUCUAUUCUGUGGGUCCCCGUGGACUUUUUUAAUGAAUCCCCAAAAUGAAUGGCAAUGCAUGCGCCUCCUGGGAUCACCUGGCUCCUGAGGACCUUUGAUGCAACUACUUGGUUGCAGGUUGGACUGAAGACUCUGUUCCCACAAAUGUGUUCCUCCGUCACCUCCUGCCCCUGGUCUCCACCUGCCGCAGUCCUAUUCAUCCUUCCUGGCUCAUCGUGGAGUCUACCUCCAUCAAGCCUCUCCUGAUUUCCCUAACGAGAUGUCAUCACUGACUCCUAACCCUUCCUUGCAGAGCUCAAGUUUCCAGCAGGUUGAGCUCAAGGAGAAGAUUACAGAUGUAACUCAGCAUGGACGCUCCCCUAAGAAGCCAUCCCUGACAGAACCCAAUGCCUUGAGGUCAUCCCUUCUUCCUUGUAUUACCUUGCACCCUGUAUACACUUUAAUCAUUGCUCUUAUCACGCUGAAGUGUCAUUAUUUACACACUUGUGCUUUUUUCUGCCAGAUUAUGAAUUCCAUGAAAAAAGAGAUUGUGCUUUCUGCAUCUCUAGCCAAGCAUCUGCCACAUGCUUCUCAUUGCCCUUUGGAUCAAGUCCAGACUCCUCAGCACUAUCAACAAAGUCGAGCCUGAUCUGAC
rnacentral:lncRNA from 13 species